rnacentral:tRNA from 1 species
GGCUGGUUAGCUUAGUUGGUUGAGUGUGGUGCUGAUAACACCAGGGUCGCGGGUUUGAUUCCCGCUCGGUCC